GCGGACACCAGCCGCGCGCCCUCGCCGGGCGCCGGGACCGGAAAAUCACCGCGAAGGGAGGGACGAGGAAAGGCGGCGGGUGGCUUCAGGACAAGAAACAUUCAGGUCAUAGCUCCAACCUUUGGGCACUGAGCAGUGUAAUCACGUGUGAUCAAAUGACCCCAGAGAGAAGACCCACGGACUUGGAUGUAAUUCAAAGUUGGCAACGUGUCACGAACUGGAACAAAGUCCUUCAUCUGUGAUGAAUUUUCUGCUGUGAGAUAUCAGUGGGCAAGGAUGUGAUGCCUGAAGAUGUGGCAUCUACCUGGAAACAGUCAAGGACCUGAAGAUGAAGCCAGCAUCUGAGGAAGACAGACAGAAAGGAUCUGGAUACAUGAUGAGUCUAGGGAAGAAUAUCAAGUAAUAUGAAGUCCGAGACAAUGGGAAAAGAAGAGGUAUUCCUGUCCAGGCCCUCUUCCAGUUAGAAGUCCACAGGGCCUGAAAAUUGCUUCCAGCAACUGACAAGUUCAUCCCCUUCCAACUGGUCUGACAAGCCCUGAGGAAGGAGGACAGUGAUAUCCACCCUCCCACCGCGCCCCCACCCCCUUAACUGUAAAAUUGUCCAUCUCAUCUUGGACUAUCCGGAAACCAACAUGGGACGACACAAAACCGCUACUUGAAGAUCAGCACCAAAAGAGUUGUUUGUGGAAAAUGGUUUACCAGGGUCAAUGUUAUGUGUAGAUGUGCAAGAAACUGCCUACCUUCUAGUCUCCAAUUAUCUACAUGUGUAUAGGAGAUGUUGGAAAUUUCUUUUUGGACUGAUUCUUUGAAGCCUUACCUCCUUGCAUAGUCCUGAUAGAAUAACGAAUUAGGUUCCCAGUGUUGAGUGAGAAGAGUGGGUUUCAGGAGUCAUUCACACACUGCAUUCUGCCUUCCCGAGGCAGUGAGGGGCAAGAAUAAGAGAAGGAUCAUGGGCUUUGGGGUUAGCCAGGACUACACCAAAAUUUCUGCUGGGCUUGGUACUAGUUGGGUCCUGGAGCAUGAUGCAUUCCCUGUUUUUUUUUUUUUUUUUGUCUGAUCUGGUAGCCUGCAGUAAAUGGUUAUUCCCUUGGCCUUAGGAUUUAUAGCCUGUGACCAGUUACCAGAUUAUCUCACCACUGAAGGCCCAGAUAGUACUGUGUAUAAUGAAAGCAAGUACCGUUAUUAACACUUGAAGCUUUCUAACCAUAGUAUUUCUCGGUUCAAAGCAAAGAAACCGGAUCCACCUAUUUAGUUUUGCAUGACUGGUAUAGAUAUCUAUAAUAUUGAGAGGAGGGGCCAGCUGGGCUUCCUGGGUCCAGCAGGGGCUCAGAAAGCUGUGAAACUCACUCAUUUCGUGCAUCAGGACUGACUUUGGUCCUGGAUGAAUAAUAUUGAAGAUAUAUGCUUAAAAUAUUCCCAACACCAGGAUGUGUGCAUGUGUUUUCUUGCCCAAGAAACGUAUAAACAGCGAAAAUUUUGCUGUAAGUUUCCCUGUGUCCUUUCUCCGUCUCUCCCUUCCCCCUCCCCUAAAACUAAAAGGAAUGUUAAAUGCCCAUUUUCUGUGACCAGCGGACCUUAUCUAUGCUCCUAAUUCCAAUUCCUUGUAAACAUACUUUGUAAAGUCCUGUGAGAUCCUGUCUCCUUUGCCAUGCCACUACAAGGUCAUAAAGUAGAUAAAACCUAA